UGAAGGGGAAAUGUUUCUAAUAAACAAAGUGGAUAAAAGAGGAGAAAUAUGCUGGAGCAAUUCGUCAUUCGUAGAGAAGGUUUAUCAUGUGGAGAUGACUCUGCAGCUAAAUGUGUAGGUGAGAGAAACUCGGGUUGUGAUUCAGGAGGCAGUGGUGGUAAGAAAGAAAGAUUUUCAGUUUUGUUAUGAAACAUGUAGGUGAGUGUAUGCUAACAGCUGCUAAACUUUGGGGAGUAGCCAACACAGACAAUCAUCAUUGAUGAAAAAUUAAUUAACAUGUUUUGCAUUGUAAAAUAAUUGAAAUCCCUUUAACUUUUUCACAUUUUGUCACAUUGCAGCCAUAUUUAAAUAUCUUACAGAGCACAGUUCUGUCAUUUGAAAAUGGAAAGACAGUGGCACAAAUGCAAACCUACCGAGACUCAACCGUCUACCUGAACUGACAGGCUGAGCAAAGCAAGGGGAGCAUUAAUCCCAAAAGCAGCCAAGAGGUAAUUGUGGAGGACCUGCACAAGUCCACAGCUCCACAGGGAGGAAUCUGUUGACAGCACAACUAUGUGCACUCCACAAAUUUGAUCUUUAUGGCAGAGUGACAAGAAGAAAAUCAUUACUGAAAGAAACAAUCAGCAGAACUUUUUGUAGGCGACAACAAACACACAGAAGAAAGUUAUUUUAUCAGAUGAGACCAAGCUUCUUGUCUGUCAUUCAAAAUGUCAACUGUGAAUGAAACUAAGACCCUGAAAACACCAUCUCUGCAGUGAAACAUGGUGAUGAUGGUCACCAUGCUAGGUGGCUGCUUUCUUUCAAGUGGAACAAAGAAGUUUAUAAGAGUUGAUGGGAAAAUGGAUGGAGCAAAAUGCAAGAUUGUCCUGGAAGAAAAUAAAUUUAUAUGCAGCAAAAGACUGGAAACAAGGCAGAGGUUCACUUUCCAGCAGGACAACAACUCUAAACAUUCAACUAGAACUAAAUGACUUAGAUAAAUGCAGUUUUAUGAGUUAGAAAGACCCAGUCAGAAUAAGUAGAUAGUGUCCAUCAAAUAUGACCUAGCUUGAUGUAUUUUGGUUUAAAGAAAUAAAUCAGCUUUCAAAUGUGCAAAGACUGCAGAGACCUAACCCUGUUAAAAGAUCUUACACCAAGAGGUAGUUCUACAAUGUGUAGUGUAUAGAUGCCAAGUAUAUUUCAUACUUUAUUAAAAAAAAAUAUUACUAUCUUUUACAGUACAAUUCUACUAUUUUAUGUAAUGUGACAAAUGAAAAAAGGCUUAAUGGGUAUAAAUCAUUUUGCAAAACACAAAUUGUGGUUCAAAAUUAUCUUAAGGAUUGUUGAUGUAGACAAUAUGUAAUUAAAUCUUAAAAACAUUAACUGGGCAACCAUAAAGGUAUCUGCAGCUGAAGAUUUUAAGACAAGUUUUUAAGUUCUUACUAGUCUGGAGCUCAUUACAGGGUCUAUCAGUACCACUUACACAUCAUCUGUAUCUGGGAUCUCUGAAUUUUAAUUGUCCAUUUGCAAUCAAGCUCUUAAACAAAUGUGUGUUUAAAAAUGUGUCUUCUGAUUAGUGAAAUUUCUGGAAGAAGGUAUAAAAUUUCAUUCAUAUUCAAGCCUAGUCUGGAAGAAAAAGCUGUAGAUUUAUGAAGUCUGAAGACUAAAAUCUUUUUUUCAAGGAAAACAUGGGAGAAAUAAACCAACUUCCUUUAUACCUACACUUUAAACAGCCGUGCAUUUCUCUUGGUGUCUAAUUCUUUAUAAAAUAUGGGAAUAAAUAAUCUUAAAACUCCUGGAAAUACUCAUAGAUUACUAUUUUAGCUUUAAGUAGAAAAAGUUUCUGUCGGCAUUAAAGGGAAUAAAAGGAAAACUAAAUUGGCAUAAAAUGGCCAUAAGUUAUUUUGCAAAGUAUUGA